CCGGCCGGUGCGGGGCCGGGUACCGGACCGGCCUGCGGGGCCGGCGGGACGAGCAGCGCCUGCAGAUCGGCCGGGUUCUGCGUGGCCGGCGUCUGGGC
rnacentral:tRNA from 1 species